rnacentral:RNase_P_RNA from 1 species
GUGGUAAAAAGGAUAAUCGCUGGUUUGUAAAAACGAGAGGAAAGUCAGGACACUAUGAAAGAAUAAUGACGGAGAAAGGCCGUCACCAGUAAUGGUAGGGAAAGUGCAACAGAAAAUAAACCGCCCGUAAGGGUAAGGGUGAAAAAGCAGGGUAAGAGCCUACUAUAAUUUGUAGAAAUGCAGGUUAUUGGUAAACCCCAUUAAGUGAAACACCAAGUAUUGUCAGGUAUGCUUCUUUCACAUGGACAAAGGUAGGUGGAUAAAGGUUGCAAGCAAUUGCAAUUUUAGAUUAAUGAUUAUCAUAACAGAAUCCUGUGUAUGUUUUUACCACAUAU